ACGAUUAGAGUUUGAUCAUGGCUCAGAACGAACGCUGGCGGCGUGGAUAAGACAUGCAAGUUGAACGGUUGACGCAGGGUAGCAAUAUUCUGUGUCAGCAGUGGCGUAAGGGUGCUUAACACGUGGGUAAUCUGCCGCGAAGUGUGGGAUAACUCGCUGAAAGGCGAGCUAAUACCGCAUGUGAUUUUCUUGAGGCAUCUCAGGGAAUUCAAACAUGGGUCGCAAGGCCUGUGGUUUCGCGAUGAGCCCGCGGCCUAUCAGCUAGUUGGCGGGGUAAAGGCCCACCAAGGCUAAGACGGGUAGCUGGUCUGAGAGGACGACCAGCCACACUGGAACUGAGACACGGUCCAGACACCUACGGGUGGCAGCAGUCGAGAAUUUUUCACAAUGGGGGAAACCCUGAUGGAGCGACGCCGCGUGGGGGAUGAAGGGCUUCGGUUCGUAAACCCCUGUCAUUGGCGAACAAGUGUUGCGUCCUAAUACGGCGCAACUUGAUAGUAGCCGAAGAGGAAGGGACGGCUAACUCUGUGCCAGCAGCCGCGGUAAUACAGAGGUCCCGAGCGUUGUUCGGAUUCACUGGGCGUAAAGGGUGCGUAGGUGGUUGGGUAAGUUUGAGGUGAAAGCUCCGAGCUCAACUC
rnacentral:rRNA from 1 species